UACGUAGGGUGCAAGCGUUGUCCGGAAUUAUUGGGCGUAAAGAGCUCGUAGGCGGUUUGUCACGUCGGGUGUGAAAACUCGGGGCUCAACCCCGGGCCUGCGUUCGAUACGGGCAGACUAGAGUGUGGUAGGGGAGACUGGAAUUCCUGGUGUAGCGGUGAAAUGCGCAGAUAUCAGGAGGAACACCGGUGGCGAAGGCGGGUCUCUGGGCCAUUACUGACGCUGAGGAGCGAAAGCGUGGGGAGCGAACAGG
rnacentral:rRNA from 1 species